rnacentral:lncRNA from 1 species
CGACUGCACGCAGAGAUACACCACAGACUGGAACGGCCUCCCCCGGGACAUCGUCACCACCGCCUCAUCGUCUGCCUUUCAAGACCGUGUUAUU